ensembl:snoRNA
ACCCAGACUACCUGGGUUCUAAUUCCAUCCCUACCACUUACCAGCUGUGUGAUCUUGGGCAAGUUACUUGACUUCACUGUGCCUCAGUCUCCUCAUCUGAAAAAUAGGGGUGAUAGUAUUUACCCCACUGGGUUCUUGGGAAAAUUA